AGCAGCCGCGGUAAUUCCAGCUCCAAUAGCGUAUAUUAAAGUUGUUGCAGUUAAAAAGCUCGUAGUUGAAUUUCGGGGUCAAUACGUCGGUCGUGCCUCGGUACGCACUAACGUUAUUGAUCCCUCCCUUCUGACGAACCGUGAUGUCAUUAAUUUGGUGUUGCGGGGAAUCAGGACUGUUACCUUGAAAAAAUUAGAGUGUUUAAAGCAGGCAAUCGCUCGAAUACAUUAGCAUGGAAUAAUGAAAUAGGACGUUCGAACCUAUUUUGUUGGUUUCUAGGAUCGACGUAAUGAUUAAUAGGGAUAGUUGGGGGCAUUAGUAUUCAAUUGUCAGAGGUGAAAUUCUUGGAUUUAUUGAAGACUAACUACUGCGAAAGCAUUUGCCAAGGAUGUUUUCAUUAAUCAAGAACGAAAGUUAGGGGAUCGAAGACGAUCAGAUACCGUCGUAGUCUUAACCAUAAACUAUGCCGACUAGGGAUCGGAUGAUGUUAAUUUUUUAAUGACUCAUUCGCGCCUUACG
rnacentral:rRNA from 1 species